rnacentral:rRNA from 1 species
GAUGAACGCUGGCGGCGUGCCUAAUGCAUGCAAGUCGAGCGACGCAUACCGGCGGGGUAACCCACCGGUAUGACGGAGCGGCGAACGGGUGAGUAACACGUGAGCAACCUGCCCCACAGACCGGGAUAGCCCAGGGAAACCUGGAUUAAUACCGGAUCAUCUCGGUGGAUCGCAUGAUCUGCCGAGCAAAAGCCUUUGUGCUGUGGGAUGGGCUCGCGGCUUAUCAGCUAGUUGGUGGGGUAACGGCCCACCAAGGCAUUGACGAGUAGCUGGUCUGAGAGGACGAUCAGCCACACUGGGACUGAGACACGGCCCAGACUCCUACGGGAGGCAGCAGCAGGGAAUCUUGCGCAAUGGGCGAAAGCCUGACGCAGCAACGCCGCGUGGGGGAUGAAGGCCUUCGGGUUGUAAACCCCUUUCAGGAGGGAAGAAAUUGACGGUACCUCCAGAAGAAGCACCGGCCAACUACGUGCCAGCAGCCGCGGUAAUACGUAGGGUGCAAGCGUUAUCCGGAAUCAUUGGGCGUAAAGAGCUCGUAGGCGGUUCAACAAGUCGGCUGUGAAAACCCAGGGCUCAACCCUGGGAUGCCGGUCGAUACUGCUGUGGCUAGGGUCCGGUAGAGGAGCGUGGAAUUCCCGGUGUAGCGGUGAAAUGCGCAGAUAUCGGGAGGAACACCAGUAGCGAAGGCGGCGCUCUGGGCCGGCACCGACGCUGAGGAGCGAAAGCUAGGGGAGCAAACAGGAUUAGAUACCCUGGUAGUCCUAGCCGUAAACGUUGGGCACUAGGUGUGGCGGAUGCAUUCACGUCUGCUGCGCCGUAGCUAACGCGUUAAACGUGCCGCCUGGGGAGUACGGUCGCAAGAUUAAAACUCAAAGAAAUUGACGGGGGCCUGCACAAGCGGUGGAGUAUGUGGCUUAAUUCGAUGCAACGCGAAGAACCUUACCUGGCCUUGACAUGUAGGUAGUAGGAGCCUGAAAGGGUGACGAGGUAGCAAUACCAGCCUACACAGGUGCUGCAUGGCUGUCGUCAGCUCGUGUCGUGAGAUGUUGGGUUAAGUCCCGCAACGAGCGCAACCCUUGUGUCCUGUUGCCACUUCCGCGAGAGCGGAAAGCACUCUGGACAGACUGCCUCGCUUAAACGAGGAGGAAGGUGGGGAUGACGUCAAGUCAGUAUGGCCCUUACGGCCAGGGCUGCACACGUACUACAAUGCCCGGUACAGAGGGAAGCAAGACCGCAAGGUGGAGCAAAUCCUAAAAAACCGGGCCCAGUUCAGAUUGUCGUCUGCAACUCGACGGCAUGAAGUCGGAAUCGCUAGUAAUGGCGCAUCAGCUACGGCGCCGUGAAUACGUUCCCAGGCCUUGUACACACCGCCCGUCACAUCAUGAAAGCCGGCUGUACCCGAAGUCCAUGUGCCAACCGCAAGGGGGCAGUGGCCGAAGGUAUGACUGGUGAUUGGGAUGAAGUCGUAACAAGGUAAC